rnacentral:misc_RNA from 1 species
GAUGAAGAACGUAGCGAAAUGCGAUAAGUAAUGUGAAUUGCAGAAUUCAGUGAAUCAUCGAAUCUUUGAACGCACAUUGCGCCCGCCAGUAUUCUGGCGGGCAUGCCUGUUCGAGCGUCAUUUCAACCAUCAAGCCCCCGGCUUGUGUUGGGGACCUGCGGCUGCCGCAGGCCCUGAAAUGCAGUGGCGGGCUCACUGUCACUCCGAGCGUAGUAGUUACAUCUCGCUCUGGGCGUGCUGCGGGUUCCGGCCGUUAAAAGCCUUAUUUACCCAAGGUUGACCUCGGAUCAGGUAGGAAGACCCGCUGAACUUAAGCAUAUCAAUAAGCGGAGGA